rnacentral:tRNA from 1 species
GGUGGCUCAGUGGUAGAGUGCUUGCCUCACAUGCAUGAGACUCUGGGUUCGAUUCCCCAGCACCA